rnacentral:rRNA from 1 species
UACGAAGGUGGCAAGCGUUGUUCGGAUUCACUGGGCGUACAGGGUGUGUAGGCGGUUUGGUAAGCCUUCUGUUAAAGCUUCGGGCCCAACCCGGAAAGCGCAGAGGGUACUGCCAGGCUAGAGGACGGGAGAGGGUCGCGGAAUUCCCGGUGUAGAGGUGAAAUUCGUAGAUAUCGGGAGGAACACCGGUGGCGAAGGCGGCGACCUGGGUAGAUACUGACGCUGAGGUGCGAAAGCGUGGGGAGCAAACAGG